AAGAACACACUGUCAGGGAUCGUUUCUACAGUUCACUGCUAGAGAAGCUUCUCUGAUCCCGCAGAGCACCCGGAACCACGAGGGGAGCCAGAGGAUCAUCUCCUGAGCAUGAAACCUGUCCUAGGUGUUGCCUUUGCAGCUGUCUUUUACCACUGAUGAUCAUUUUCUCUCCCCUGGAGAGGGAGAGAUGCAAUCUGAUAGUGCU